rnacentral:lncRNA from 1 species
GGGAGUUUACCUUCGUUAUGGAGCUGAUUCCUUGUCUUCUCCGUCGCAAUCGGAGAUCGGGCGAGAGAUCGGAGAGCCUUUGAAUGGAGGCUCAAGACGGCGCAGAGGGGAGAGCAUUCGGCUCUCUGUUUUCUUUUAUUCUUUUUUUUUCUUUUUGUUUAAAAAAUAGAAGGGAGGCUAUCAGGUUAGGGUUUUUUUUUGGCCCGUAUGUGGUGUGUGAAACGACGCCGUUUGGAGUCUGAUUAGUGGCUCCAAAAUGGCGCCGUAUUGUCCCUGUAACCCGCGCGUGU